AUACGUAGGGUGCAAGCGUUAAUCGGAAUUACUGGGCGUAAAGCGUGCGCAGGCGGUUUUGUAAGACAGAGGUGAAAUCCCCGGGCUCAACCUGGGAACUGCCAUUGUGACUGCAAGGCUGGAGUGCGGCAGAGGGGGGUGGAAUUCCGCGGGUAGCAGUGAAAUGCGUAGAUAUGCGGAGGAACACCGAUGGCGAAGGCAAUCCCCUGGGCCUGCACUGACGCUCAUGCACGAAAGCGUGGGGAGCAAACAGGAUUAGAUACCCUGGUAGUCCACGCCCUAAACGAUGUCAACUGGUUGUUGGGGAUUUAUUUUCUCAGUAACGAAGCUAACGCGUGAAGUUGACCGCCUGGGGAGUACGGCCGCAAGGUUAAAACUCAAAUGAAUUGACGGGG
rnacentral:rRNA from 1 species